GUUGCCUAACGAAACAUAGCUCUCUCACCUCUAUUUAUUCGCCUCGCGAACAUUACUCGCCCAGUCGCCUGCAGUCGCCUAAUCGACGGUCGCCGCUAAUCGCCUGGUCGACGGUCGCGUCGUCGCACAGAUCUGUUGUUGCGAGGCUUGCCGAGGUCGCAGGACACCGGCGCACUGCGCCUGGGGUCUGGCGACGCCUGGGCUCCGAAGUAAUCCUAGAAAUUAUCAUCCCAUAUUCAACAACCAUCGAAGUUCCGAAGAAAUGGAACGUCACCUUCACGAAGCAUUUGACGUUGAAGCUGAAGCGCGAGGUCUAUCGCGAUGGCUUCCUCCGCAAUGCCAUUGGCAAGUGACAAGCUCUUCUGUGUGGGUUAACUUGCCCGCUGCUGCAACAUUAAUCAUAGCCCUUCUCUAUUUUUCAAUGGAUUUUGAUAUGCGAAGGAAAGCUGCAGUAUAUAACAGCAAAAAACCUGCAAGCACCACUGCAUCUCUGAAGAAACCUGUUGAAACUCCUAAAGUUGUUACAUAGUCGAAGUGGAGAAGUAAAGUGGGUUCUCCUGUAGUUGAAGAUGCAAUGGAUUGCUUUACCAGGCAUCUAGUAUCCGAGUGGGUCACAGAUCAUUGGUAUUCUUGUUUAACACUUGAUAGAGAAGGCCCAGAGGAAUUGGUGUGCAUCAUCAAUCAUGUUCUUGCAGAAUUUUCAGAUCGCGUGAGGAACAUUAACCUUAUCGACCUUCUUACAAGGGACAUUGUUGGUCUCAUCUGAACACAUUUGGAGAUCUUUCGCAUGACACGGGCAAAGAUUGAAAAGCAACAGUUUGAACACCUCACUGUUCAUCAACUAGAUGGUGAACUAAGACGUAUCUUGGCUUCUGAAAAUAAAUUGCACUCAGCAUUAUUUUCCAUUAAAGCUGAGCACAAGAUGCAUUGUCAGGGAGCUUCUUGCCUAUGCAGUGAUGAGACCAGUCAUUGACCUUAUUUUCAGGUCACUUACUGAUGUCUGUAAAUGAAGAUGAUGACCAGAGUGUCAUGCAUUUGGAGGAGGCUGAAUCAGGGAGCAGUUCAUAUACUUAUGGCGAUGACGAAGCUGAGACAAUUACUGGUCUUGACUCUCGUGGAGCUAAAGUUUUGGAUGGCAAGAUCUUCAACUCAGAAUUUGGGAUGGCAACAUUUGGUCUUGUUCUUCAUGGUCAAUUAGGCCUCUUUGGAUGUUGUCCAAGAAUGUUCGUGUAAUAUUUAAGGAUAACAUAUUUCUUUCCUUAGAACAUAUAUGACCAUGCUUAUUUUAAUGAAAUUACUCUCUUUUUAA